rnacentral:lncRNA from 1 species
GUUUGCCCCUAGGUAUCCCUCAGUAGGUGAAUUGCCAGUUUUCUCAAAAAUUAGCUACUUUGCUCCCAUUGUGCUCUCAAACCCUACCUAUGACCUUAUCACUUGUGUACCCUCUGGACAAGCCUAUCUUCCCUCCACUAUUGAAAGACUUAGUUAUUCUGAUCAUGCUUCCUUGCUUGGAGAACAUGUUGCGCCUUCCUUUAAAAUUAGAAUAUCUAUGGGCCAGUUGGCUUGUUUUUCAAUCUUCUCUACCCUU